CUCCUACGGGAGGCAGCAGUGGGGAAUAUUGGACAAUGGGCGAAAGCCUGAUCCAGCCAUGCCGCGUGAGUGAUGAAGGCCUUAGGGUUGUAAUGCUCUUUUAGCGGGGAAGAUAAUGACGGUACCCGCAGAAUAAGCCCCGGCUAACUUCGUGCCAGCAGCCGCGGUAAUACGAAGGGGGCUAGCGUUGUUCGGAAUUACUGGGCGUAAAGCGCACGUAGGCGGAUUGACAAGUCAGAGGUGAAAUCCCGGGGCUCAACCUCGGAACUGCCUUUGAUACUGUUAGUCUGGAGUCCGGUAGGGGAGCAUGGAAUUCCUGGUGUAGCGGUGGAAUGCGCAGAUAUCAGGAGGAACACCAAUGGCGAAGGCAGUGCUCUGGGCCGGUACUGACGCUGAGGAGCGAAAGCAUGGGGAGCAAACAGGAUUAGAUACCCUGGUAGUCCAUGCCGUAAACGUUGGGCACUAGGUGUGGGGUCUUCUAACGGAUUCCGUGCCGUAGCUAACGCAUUAAGUGCCCCGCCUGGGGAGUACGGCCGCAAGGCUAAAACUCAAAGGAAUUGACGG
rnacentral:rRNA from 1 species